CCUACGGGUGGCAGCAGUGGGGAAUAUUGCACAAUGGGGGAAACCCUGAUGCAGCGACGCCGCGUGAGUGAAGAAGUAUUUCGGGAUGUAAAGCUCUAUCAGCAGGGAAGAAAGAAAGUCCAUCGGACUGUGGACGGGACCUGACUAAGAAGCCCCGGCGAACUACGUGCCAGCAGCCGCGGUAAUACGUAGGGGGCAAGCGUCAUCCGGCUGUACUGGGGGGAACGGGAGCGUAGACGGCAGCGCAAGGCUGGAGUGAAAGCCCAUGGCUUAACCAGGGAACUGCUUUGGAAACUGUGCAGCUGGAUUGCAGGAGAGGUAAGCGGAAUUCCUAGUGUAGCGGUUAAAUGCGUAGAUAUUAGGCGGAACACCAGUGGCGAAGGCGGCUUACUGGACUGUAACUGACGUUGAGGCUCGAAAGCGUGGGGAGCAAACAGGAUUAGAUACCCCUGUAGUC
rnacentral:rRNA from 1 species